UACGUAUGGUGCAAGCGUUAUCCGGAUUUACUGGGUGUAAAGGGAGCGUAGGCGGCGCGUUAAGUCUGAUGUGAAAACCCGAGGCUCAACCACGGGAGUGCUUUGGAAACUGUGCGGCUCGAGUGCGGGAGAGGUAGGCGGAAUUCCUAGUGUAGCGGUGAAAUGCGUAGAUAUUAGGAGGAACACCAGUGGCGAAGGCGGCUUACUGGACCGUAACUGACGUUGAGGCUCGAAAGCGUGGGGAGCAAACAGG
rnacentral:rRNA from 1 species